rnacentral:rRNA from 1 species
GAUGAACGCUGGCGGCGUGCUUAACACAUGCAAGUCGAACGGAGUGGCGAACGGGUGAGUAACACGUAGGUGAUCUGCCUUUCACUUCGGGAUAAGCUUGGGAAACUGGGUCUAAUACCGGAUAGUGGGAGAUGAGCUUGCGGCCUAUCAGCUUGUUGGUGGGGUAAUGGCCUACCAAGGCGGCGACGGGUAGCCGGCCUGAGAGGGUGUGCGGCCACAUUGGGACUGAGAUACGGCCCAGACUCCUACGGGAGGCAGCAGUGGGGAAUUUUGCACAAUGGGCGGAAGCCUGAUGCAGCGACGCCGUGUGGGGGAUGAAGGCCUUCGGGUUGUAAAGCACUUUUGGCAGGAAAGCGGUACCUGCAGAAUAAGCACCGGCUAACUACGUGCCAGCCGCCGCGGUAAUAC